UCUAGCUUGCUAGGAAAGGGGACAGCGGCGGACGGGUGAGUAAUGGAUAAGCAACCUGCCCAUUUGUUGGGGACAACCCUGGGAAACUAGGGCUAAUACCGAAUACGUUCCGAAAAUCGCAUGGUUUUUGGAGGAAAGGCUUCGGCCGCAGAUGGAGGGGCUUAUCUCCGAUUAGCUUGUUGGUAAGGUAACGGCUUACCAAGGCUCCGAUCGGUAGCUGGUUUGAGAGGAUGAACAGCCACACUGGGACUGAGAUACGGCCCAGACUCC
rnacentral:rRNA from 1 species